ACAGAGGUCCCAAGCGUUGUUCGGAUUCAUUGGGCGUAAAGGGUGCGUAGGCGGUAAGGUAAGUUGGAUGUGAAAUCCCGGGGCUUAACCCCGGAACUGCAUUCAAUACUGCUUUGCUAGAGUACUGGAGAGGAGAUUGGCAUUCACGGUGUAGCAGUGAAAUGCGUAGAUAUCGUGAGGAAGACCAGUGGCGAAGGCGAAUCUCUGGACAGUUACUGACGCUGAGGCACGAAGGCUAGGGGAGCAAACGGGA
rnacentral:rRNA from 1 species